rnacentral:rRNA from 1 species
GUCCACGCUGUAAACGAUGGUCACUAGGUGUCCGGGGUAUUGACCCCCUGGGUGCCGCAGCUAACGCAUUAAGUGCCCCGCCUGGGGAGUACGAUCGCAAGAUUAAAACUCAAAGGAAUUGACGGGGGCCCCGCACAAGCGGUGGAGCAUGUGGUUCAAUUCGACGCAACGCGAAGAACCUUACCUGGGCUAGACAACGGUGGACCGUCCUAGAAAUAGGAUCUUCCCUUCGGGGACUGCCGGUUCAGGUGCUGCAUUGCUGUCGU